UUUACUGCAAAAACUCCCAAAGGUAAGGAGAAAAUGUGAAAAUCCAAAUAUAAGACAACAAAUAUGUUUUUUUCUUGUUUCAUCAGAAAAUCUUUUCCAGACUCUGGGCGCGGUGGCUCACACUUGUAAUCCCAGCACUUUGGGAGGCUGAGGCGAGCAGAUCGCUUGAGGCCAGGAGUUGGAGACCAGCUUGGCCAACAUAGUGAAACGCUGUCUCUACUAAAAAUACCAAAAUUA
rnacentral:lncRNA from 10 species